rnacentral:snRNA from 1 species
GCGCUCACUUUGGCAGCACAAUACUAAAAUUGGAACAAUACAGAAAAGAUUUGCAUGCCCCUCACCCCAGGCAAGGAUGAUACGCAAAUGCGUGAAGAUUUCCAUAUUUUU